rnacentral:rRNA from 1 species
UGGGGAAUUUUGGACAAUGGGGGCAACCCUGAUCCAGCAAUGCCGCGUGUGUGAAGAAGGCCUUCGGGUUGUAAAGCACUUUUGUCCGGAAAGAAAACGCCGUGGUUAAUACCCGUGGCGGAUGACGGUACCGGAAGAAUAAGCACCGGCUAACUACGUGCCAGCAGCCGCGGUAAUACGUAGGGUGCAAGCGUUAAUCGGAAUUACUGGGCGUAAAGCGUGCGCAGGCGGUCCGCUAAGACAGAUGUGAAAUCCCCGGGCUCAACCUGGGAACUGCAUUGGUGACUGGCAGGCUAGAGUAUGGCAGAGGGGGGUAGAAUUCCACGUGUAGCAGUGAAAUGCGUAGAGAUGUGGAGGAAUACCGAUGGCGAAGGCAGCCCCCUGGGCCAAUACUGACGCUCAUGCACGAAAGCGUGGGGAGCAAACAGGAUUAGAUACCCUGGUAGUCCACGCCCUAAACGAUGUCAACUAGUUGUUGGGGAUUCAUUUCCUUAGUAACGUAGCUAACGCGUGAAGUUGACCGCCUGGGGAGUACGGUCGCAAGAUUAAAACUUAAAGGAAUUGACGGGGUCAUAGCUGUUU